ensembl:lncRNA
CUCUCCCGUGCUUGUUCUCGUUCCUCCAUCCCUGCUGCUGCGCUCGAGCCCCGUCAGGUCCCACUGGGACUGUCGCCACGGCUUCCUAACUGGUUUUCCUGUGAGUCCUUCCCACUGCAGUGUUCUGAACACAGCAACCUGUGUGAUCGAGCCGUGCCGUGCUUUUAUAAAUAGAGCGAGGAUUGUUCGUGCCGAUCCUCGGGCAUGCUGAGGCUGCUGCCCGGGCACGCUCAUUCUGCUGACAGACAGGAUCUUGCUAUUCAUGCUGGCCUUGAACUCACUCUGUAGCCCAGGCUGGCCUUGAACUGGUGGUGAUCCUCCUACCUUUGCCUCCGAGUGCUGGGAUUACAGACAAACAGCAAGUUCUCCAGUCCAGGUACACUUAGCUGGGCAAACUGAGGGCUCAGAAGACCCAAGUGACUUCCUGAAUAACUUAGUCCAUAAAAUGUGGAAAUGGCACCCAGAACUCAAGUCUUUUGAUCGUUGCCUGUACCCUGAAAUGGCCAGGACUUCAGGGGAGAUAUGAGGAAGAGC